CGACCCCAGGUCAGGCGGGAUCACCCGCUGAGUUUAAGCAUAUCAAUAAGCGGAGGAGAAGAAACUUACAAGGAUUCCCCUAGUAACGGCGAGCGAACCGGGAUCAGCCCAGCUUGAGAAU
rnacentral:rRNA from 1 species